CAGGACAGAUCUUCACCAUCACUGACUUCAGAGCUGAACACAGUGGGAAUUAUUACUGUGAAGCCCAGAACAGAAGAGGACGUCAGAACUCCACCUUACAUCUGAUUGUUGUAGCAGAUAAAUCAACAAUAACAAUGAUAACAAACAGCAUCAGGUUGACUCUGGUGGGGGUUGGGGGGCUGAUUCCUCUGCUUCUUUUUUGUCGGUGGAUGAGGAAGAAGAAAGCUCUGAGCUCCACCACUGAACCAAAUGAACCCAUAGAGACUGUGGAGUUAGACUCUUGUCCUGAGUAUGAGGACAUCUCAGAGACUGCAGCACAGACAGAAGACACAGAGGAGCAGGAAGACCUGGUGUGAGGGGGGGAUUCUGAGAAAGAACUCAUCAAAACUUUAUGUGGUUUUCUUCACAUGCAGUCAAACCAGAGGGAGACUCACAUGUAGGAAAACAAAAAGAAGUCUUUAACUCCAAACUUUUUCAUUCUCAGUUUUUUAGAAGCAGCAGGUAGCAGAAGAUUAGAGAAGAAUGCAGCUUUAUUUGUACCUGUGCAGGUACAUAACAGAACUGAACUCAGUUCAGGAUUUGACUUGGUAUGCAAAGUGAUAUUUUAUGUAGUAAAUUACUUUAAAAAAAUUUUGUUCACCUUUUCACAUCACACCUGUCCUGGCAGAGAAAGCCAGUAAAGUCCAUCUAUUCCACAACAUGUACAGUAAAUCUUAUAUGGUAUAUUUUUACACAUUGAAAAACAUGAGCUCAGCUCUGUCAAACUUUGCUAGUUGUUCAUUUGUAUUGAAUGAAUUGUAUUGUAUUGCAUGUAUUGUAGUGUGAACAUGAUGCCAGUUCCCUCUCACUGCUGCAGAGGGAGAUAGUGUUCAGGUGCAAGCUUUUGAUUUCAGCUUUAAACAAACUCUUUUUGUGUUCAUUCUUCAGAAUGAAGUUUUUAUUGAUCAGUAAUGAGUGCAAAUACAAUUUAAAUCAGUUGGUAUGAUCUGAUGUAUUUCUCACGCCCAAUGUUGUCCAUCUGUAAAACUUGUCACAGUGUAAUAAAGCUUUACUCUGGUGAACAACCUAAAACAG